GGAAAAUAAAAAUUAAGGGAGAUUUUAAAGGUUCUCACAAAAAAACAGACAGAGCUUUCAAGAAUCGCAGGGCAAUGAAUCACGGAUCACAAAAUUGUAAGUUAGUUAAAAAAAAAAAAAAAAAAACACAUUAUGGGGGCCAAGAAGGUACAGGAAUUUCCUAUAAGAUAGGCUAGGAAAACCCAUGCCUUGACUUUGACUGGCAUUUGGGCUGGAGUUCACACCUGCCUAAAGCACUUGGUUUAAAACUAGACUAAAUCAGUCUAGCACUUCAGAGGUUUGCCAAACACCAAAUAUUUUGAUUUCUAACCCUAAAAAUAUAACUCUUGAAUACAAACAUCAAUGGCAAAGAGAAAGAUGAAAGGUAAAAACCUAAGCACACAGGGGAUGGAGCACCAUAAUGAGGUGACAAGGCAGCUAUCGGGUGGGAAGACAAUUUCUAAAUCUCCUACAAUGUGCUAGAUGCAUACGGACCAAUAGCCAACUGAAGGGACCCCAAAAACUGUUUUCUGUUCUCCAAGAUUCGUCUUAACAUAACCAAGUUCUAAUUAACCGAGUUUGUUUUAUGAAUGUAUGACACUGAUUCAGACCUAUGUGGUGUCUGGGCGCGGUGGCUCACGCCUGUAAACCCAGCACUAUGGAAGGCCGAGGCAGGUGGAUCACGAGGUCAGGGUUCAAGACCAGCCUGGCCAAGAUGGUGAAACCCCAUCUCUAUUAAAAAUACAAAAAAUUAGCCGGGCGUGGUGGUGGGCGCCUGUAAUCCCAGCUACUCGAGAGGCUGAGGCAGAUAAUUGCUUGAACCCAGGAAGCAGAGGUUGCAGUGAGCUGCAGAGGUUGCAGUGAUCACACCACUGCAGUCCAGCCUGGGCAACAGAGCAAGACUCCGUCUUAAGAAAAAAAAAAACAACAACAAAAAACAAACAAAAAACCUGUGGAAGACUUAGUGAUGAUGUUCCAAAUAAGGCCUCAGACUUUCCUUAUCCACUUAAAACACAUCUUUACCUUUUAAUCAAAGCCAACUUGAGUGUUAAGUUUUUAAAGUUUGCUAACUGUAACUGAGAAAUAACAGAUCAGCCUGAACUUGCCGAGUGUGAAGUCAUAAUUAGCACCCGUUCUCUGGUCCACAGAGCCAUCACUUCUUUUCCAUCCCCCUCACUAGGUAAGACAGAGUUCCCUCUCAGGCUUCUCAAAGAGAACUGUGGGAGUCAUGUCUGGAUAUUCAUUUGCUUUUCAGAAAAACAUAAAGACAUGGAGCUGAAAUUGUAUGAAAACAUUCUACCUAGAAACAUCUUAACCUCUAUGUUUCAAUUACCAAAGAUAUUUAAAAGAAAAUAUCUUUACUCUUUAAAAAUACUAGUGUCCUUAUUUUCCUUCUAAUUCUUC
rnacentral:lncRNA from 1 species